CCAAGUUGGUUCAGGCAGGAAUCUGUAAGAACUGUGUCCUAGGUACCAUUUUGUGGAGAUCUGGUUCCAGCUUUUCAAAGGGGCUCACAGAACUAACCUGGAAUCUGUGCUGACCAAAAUUCCUGGUGCCCAGAAGAUGUCCAGCAACUGACGAUUCAGACUGAGCCCAUUCAGUGGAGCAUGGAGAAGGCACAAAGAGAGAACUUCUCUCAAUCCCCUGCAGAGUGCAAAUAACAACCUGAGAUCUCAGAGAGAAGGCUUCGGUCUGACAGAAUACAGCCAAACUCCAGGAUGUUACUGCUUGUUGCUGCUAAUGAUGAUGAUAGGACUUGAUCCCAGAUGGAGUCACAGAGAGGCUGAAUAACUUAACCAUGGUCAUCAGCUAGAAAGUGGAAGAGGUGAGAUUCAGACUUGCUCUGGAUGCCUCACUCCUAACCAUGAACACUGCCUCUCACGGGACUUGGGUACAUGGCUAGUUUGCAUUAUCUCACAGAAGUGGGAAGGGGAACGGUUCCACAAGGAAGCCUCUCAUCCAAGUUUUAACUUCAGGGAAGGUGAGACUUGCUUUGUCAGUUGGUGAAGGAACAAUUCCAUAAAGGGUUACAAACUCUGACAUCCUUCUCUACCUGUCUCCUGUACUUGCUUUCACACUACUACUUUUAUGUCCUUUCUUUAUUACCUUAAAAAUAAAUCUAACAUUGUUUGGAUAUGUGCAUGGGAAAUUACUACUUUCCCUCUACCAGGCAAUUAUAGGGCUGCUGCCCUAUCUUGAUGCAGUACAGGAAGGCAUGAUAGAGAAUAGAAAGCAGGUGAAAGGUAUGAGAUAACUGACUAGAAAGGCAGUGGAGCCUGGUUAAGAGCACAGCCUCUAAAAUUAAACUGGCCUAGAUUCAAAUUCCUGCUCAACCACGAAUAUAUGUGAGCGAAACCAUUUUAUAACCUUUAAGGGAAGAGCAACUCUGCUGCCUCUAGGUCUGAGAAGAUGAAGCUUUUAAGGGCAGCAGAGAGGUUGAUGAUACUAAUCCCCCACCUCUGACCCUAAUAUACAACUACUAUCUCUCCCUCUAUCUCCCUCACAGAAGCGAGGAAAUCACAAAAGGAUAUUAUUAAAAAAGGUAGAGAUGUGGACUCUGCUAACACGCUCCUGUAUUAACUCUGCUCAUGAACACUGCUGGACUCUAGAGCCACAACCCCAAAUCACAUGAUAUGUCUGUGAUUCAUGUCUGCACAGAGCUGGGUCCAGAAUAAGGGCUCAAUAAAUUGUAGCGCAUUCCACCCCUCCUCUCUUCUUCAUCUCUUUCUCUUCCACUCCCUCCUUCCUCCCAAGUAUGCCAGCCCAUUUAGUGCUAUCUAUAAGUAGAUGAGAUCUUAUGCUAAAAGAAAAGCAUCUCUUCCCUUCAUUGGAGAUAUUGAGAGGACAAAUUAUAAAGACAAAGAGACUAAAGCACUGGAGAGUUAUUUGGAUUUGAUGAUUUUUAACAUCCCUUCCAAACUUGAAUGUUUUUCCUAAUUGGGACACAUUCCAUUCCCUCAGGACACACACAUAAAGCAAGCUUGUGGGAAAGAGAAGAGACUUAUCACAAAGCAAAGUAAAAACACAAAUACUCAGUAAAUAAUCAGAGGUUUUAUAUCUUCCAUUAACAAAAAUCAAGGAAAGACAUGAAAUGACUCAGGUGCUCUCUGAAAAGGAGCCAUUCUCUUAGCUGAAUUCAGUGGUCAAUAAAUUAACCAAUCAAGUCAGCCAACAUUUGGCUUAUUGAUAAGGGCUGUUGUCUCUUGCCAGCUGCUGGUUAAUUCAGCUGAACAGUUGGUCUACCAGACAGACAAAUAAUUUGAUUUUUCUCACUAAACUGAUAACUGAUUUAGUAUGCCAGGGAAUUGUAUCUCUGACCUCAUCUCGUAAAGGACAGAUUUAAAACAGGGAAAACUGAAGUAUACACCAGCAGAAUAGAUAAGCUCUACCUGUCAGUGCCUCAGAGGGGUCCACAUCAAAUCUGGGGAGUCAGGCCACAGAGACAAUGCAUGUAAAUCUCCCCUUGAUUCAUAGAACUGGGCUAGACAGCUGGAAUCCUGCUUUUAUCCAAAAAUACACCUCCCUGUGCAAUUGACAAAAACAAAGUUGGAGAUGUCUUUCCACAUGAACCUUAGGAGGCCAGUUGGCUUUUGGCCCCAUCUUUCAACCUCCUUCCUCUGUGUAAACUUACGUCCCUCUGUGGGCAAAGCCAUAACCUCCUCUGAUAUUGGUGCUCAUGGGCAUUUCCCAAGUGACAUUUGUGGGGAAUUGUUGUUAUUUUGGAAAUAAUAUGAAACCAAGUUACCUUAGAGGAAAUAUAUUUUUCCCCUUGCUUUGUGUUAAGCUUCUACUUUAAUAAUGACUCUGUAUUUAUAUGACCUUUGUAAAGAGCUUUAAUUUGUAAAGAGCUAUUGAAAAUGUAUCAUUAUGUUAUGUUUUGGUAGAAUGGAUUAAAGUAACAUUUUGAAGGAAAUAUUCAAUUUUUUUCUAUCCUCAGGAAGAAAAAUUACUGUGUACAUCUUUAUUGUGUAGAUUUGGUGGAAACUGAAGCAAGUAUCUGUGAUAGUAAACAUUUAUCACCAAAGCCAUUAAUUAGGAUUCUAAAGAACUUGUGUCGUCUUGGAUUCUUGUUAUUGAUUAAAAAUAGUAAGCAAGGCUAGUCCUGUUCUGGGAAGUGUACAUUUGUGAGUGGAAACCUUAUGGAAUUAAAGUUAUCAUUUACUGAUAGACAUUAACAAACUGGAGAGCUAUUAGCUCAAACUAACAUAUUAAUACCACUAUCCAAUAAGUGUAACAAAUGAAACAGUAAUAAAAUAAUCAAUGAAUUGAAACUACCUCAUUUGUUCUUUAGAACUGAAAUAUUUUCCUCUAAUGAACUAUCUGAAAACUAUCU